UUUUGAUAUAGUAAGUGGGAAAGGCCUUAUGUAAGACCCCCUUUCGGGGACCCCCACUCUAGCCUCGGGAGAGAGAGAGAGAACCCAAAGAAACACCAGAAUCC
rnacentral:pre_miRNA from 7 species